UACGUAGGGCGCGAGCGUUGUCCGGAAUUAUUGGGCAUAAAGAGCUCGUAGGCGGCCUGUCGCGUCAAUUGUGAAAGCCCGGGGCUUAACCCCGGGUCUGCAGUCGAUACGGGCAGGCUAGAGUGUGGUAGGGGAGAUCGGAAUUCCUGGUGUAGCGGUGAAAUGCGCAGAUAUCAGGAGGAACACCGGUGGCGAAGGCGGAUCUCUGGGCCAUUACUGACGCUGAGGAGCGAAAGCGUGGGGAGCGAACAGG
rnacentral:rRNA from 1 species